GAGCUGGAUCCGGUCUCCACUCAGGGAUCUAAGAAAGACCUGGAAAACCGUAGCAGUGCCUCAGAGUCCCUCUGUUCCUACCAGUCAGGAUCAGGAGAUGAGAACGGCUAUCACUGGGACACAUCUGAUUGGAUGCCGAGUGCUCAGCGUCCCUUAGACCAGGAACUGUUGCAGAGUAUAUGUAUAGAAAAGCCUGCCCCCUCCUGCACUGACUCUGACCCUGAGCUCCUCAACCUUGACUGCUAUUUAGGAGGUAUAGACAUUGAGAGUGACUCCACCAACUGAUUUCCUUUCUCUUGGUCUGGAUGAUGUCCCCCAUACCUGUUAGGCAUCAGGUCCAGUUAUGAUGACUCCAUCCAGACACAUACUUCACCUGUAGCCAGCAGGGGGAAAACAUUUACCAGCACCAGCAGCACCACCUCUACCCUACAGACCCCACUAAGCACCAAGGCAGUAACACAGCUAUCAGCAGGGUGCAUAUAGGGACACAAAGUGACCCCUUGGACAUGAGCUGUGGAUAGGAGCUCAGCAGCAGUGUGCCCGUCUCCCAUGCCUCCAGCUCUGACCUGUCAGGCUUGGGUGAGGGGUCAGAGUGACCAGCAGGCUUGUUUGGUUAUCUCACAUCCUAACCUCUGGACACAAGGCCUCUGACAGGCGACUGAAACUAUAAACUUCACUUAGAGAAUUCAGAGAUAGACCCUGAUGAUCAGAGCGUUGGCUCUCUAUUGGAAAUAUGUCUUGGUAGUCUUAAUCAAAUCUACUUUGAAACAAAAGUAUACAUCUCAUACACAUGGUUAUGGGCUUUAAAAAAAUAAGACCCCUUUACCAUGUCAGAUAUAGAGUUAAAAUGUAUUACACUUUGAGUUUGCAUCCCAAUAUUACACUUUAUAUACUUCACAGAGGACUGAAAUAUAACAUAACCAUGAGAUUUUUGGCGUGUUGUAAAAUAAUGUUUAUUAAUUAUGAAAUUAUAAAAAAUAUGAAUAACAUUCCACCCAUGAGGCCACUAUAGGGCAAUUUGGUCAUUUGACUGCAGGACAGGUGUAGUGAAUGUUAUGUAAUUUCAGAAGAAAAAGCUCACACCUUACGUCCAUCUCUAAUGGCUAAUACUGUAAAUACCAUACAUGUCUGCAUAUUCUUAUCCGUGAUAUUGCAUGAAGCUUAUGUUAGGUUUAUACUGAUUAUAUAUUAAUUAGCUCUUUGAUUGUACUGUACAAUAAACAUUUAUAUAAAUGAUUCUGCCAUUGAAUCAUUGCUGUUACGUUUGUUUUAAUAAAUGAAUACAGAUCAGUCAGCAGAAGGGACAGCCAUACUGUUUUAGCAUUAGCUAUCCUGUUGUCCUGCCAUACCCUGCUAUCAUCAGUAAGGAAGGAGAAGAGGAUGAGAGGAAAGUCCUCUUUUUGACCUCAAGCUCAUUCUUUUAAAAAUGGGAUAACAGUUUCUAACUUCUACUUCGGACUGAUAUGUUUAAAGUUGGACUGAAUAGGACUUUCACCAAAGAAUGAAGCAUUUUACUUUGGAACACUUUCAUUUUUUUUUAUUUACUCCAGUUUAACUUGUGAGAUGUAAAAGAGCUGGGCUUCUUCCCAAAUGGCACCCUAUUCCCUAAGUAGUGCACUACUUUUGACCAAAUCCCAUAAGGGUGUAAUGCACUAUGUAGGUAAUAGGGCGCCAUUUGUGACGUACACAUGGGCAUCAAAGGAAGACUGCUGCUCAUCCCCUCACCAGAUGCACUUGACUUGAUGGUGGUCAUGGAGCCUGUCGAUAGUAUGGUCACCUCUACUUCUUAUGCGGUUUCCAUUGGAGGAAAAUCAUUUUAGAAGCUGUUGUUUAUGUUUACAUGUUUCUCAAGGAAAAUAUAGCUCUUUUCACAAGGUUAACCCUCUGUGAGAAAUAGAAUGAUAGAUACUUCUGUUUCCAUAGGAUCUUAUCACACUACAGCAAGCCAGAGAUGCACAACAAAUAUAUUGUAUCCGUUCUGUUCAGUCCUGUAUAAAUGAGCUCAAUAUGAUGUAAAACAAAAUAUAUAGAGAACCAGUCAAAAGUUUGGACACACCUACUCAUUCCUAGGUUUUUCUUUAUUUUUACUAUUUUGACAGCUAGGAUUAAUAAUCUAUUUUAAGUGCGGCCCUCCAGACCUCGGUGAAGAUGGAAUGCGGCCCACAGGGAAAAUGAGUUUGACUCCCCUGUUUUAGAGUAGGUUCUUGAUGGUGAGAGCUAAAGAUGCUCAUUGCAUAGCACAAGAUGGCAGUAUAACCCCAGAAAGCUUUUCUUGGGAAUGGUGUGGAUUAGACACCAUAAGUAACCUGGAUUCAUGUGGUCGAGCUCAGAUGUCAAUGUUCCUCUGAAUGGAUGUGUCUGUCACGUUCUGACAUUUAUUUCCUUUUUGUCAUUAUUUAGUAUGGUCAGGGCAUGAGUUGGGGUGGGCAGUCUAUGUUUGUUUUUCUAUGAUUUGGGUAUUUCUAUGUUUCGGCCUAGUAUGGUUCUCAAUCAGAGGCAGGUGUCAUUAGUUGUCUCUGAUUGAGAAUCAUACUUAGGUAGCCUGGGUUUCACUGUGUGUUUGUGGGUGAUUGUUCCUGUCUCUGUGUUUGUUUUCACCUGAUAGGCUGUUUAGGUUUUCUCACAUUUAUUGUUUUGUUAGUUUAUUCAUGUAUAGUGUCUUUAUUAAAGUACCAUGAAUAACCACCA